CAGGAAAUCUGCAGUUGUUUGCUCCCCCAAAACCCUGUCUGCAGCUGCGGGAGAACCGUGGUGGUAGUGGCUAAGCUGAAGUGUGUCUUCAUUGCUCCCUGAGUGCACAUGUAUUUCAGAUCACUGCUGAUUUAUCUCCUGAACGGGGGAGCGUUUCACACUUCUGAAAUGAAAGCACUCUACAAACUCUUA